rnacentral:misc_RNA from 1 species
GAUUGAAGAACGUAGCGAAAUGCGAUAAGUAAUGUGAAUUGCAGAAUUCAGUGAAUCAUCGAAUCUUUGAACGCACAUUGCGCCCCUUGGUAUUCCGAGGGGCAUGCCUAUUCGAGCGUCAUUAUCACCCCUCAAGCCUAGCUUGGUGUUGAGGCCUGCUGUCAAGGCAGCCUCUAAAAUCAGUGGCAGUGCUGUCAGGCUCUAAGCGUAGUAAAUCUAAUCGCUAUAGACACCUGGUGGACACUCGCCAGAACCCCCCCAUUUUUUAAUGAUUGACCUCGGAUUAGGUAGGGAUACCCGCUGAACUUAAGCAUAUCAAUAAGCGGAGGA